rnacentral:rRNA from 1 species
AUUGAACGCUGGCGGCAUGCUUUACACAUGCAAGUCGAACGGUAACAGGUUAAGCUGACGAGUGGCGAACGGGUGAGUAAUGCAUCGGAACGUGCCCGAUCGUGGGGGAUAACGCAGCGAAAGCUGCGCUAAUACCGCAUACGAUCUGAGGAUGAAAGCGGGGGACCGUAAGGCCUCGCGCGAUCGGAGCGGCCGAUGUCAGAUUAGGUAGUUGGUGGGGUAAAGGCUCACCAAGCCAACGAUCUGUAGCUGGUCUGAGAGGACGACCAUCCACACUGGGACUGGGACACGGACCAGACUCCUACGGGAGGCAGCAGUGGGGAAUUGUGGACAAUGGGCGAAAGCCUGAUCCAGCAAUGCCGCGUGCAGGAAGAAGGCCUUCGGGUUGUAAACUGCUUUUGUACGGAGCGAAAAGGCUCUCUCUAAUACAGGGGGCUCAUGACGGUACCGUAAGAAUAAGCACCGGCUAACUACGUGCCAGCCGCCGCAGUAA